UACAGAGGGUGCGAGCGUUGUCCGGAAUCACUGGGCGUAAAGGGCGCGUAGGCGGCCUGAUAAGUAGGGGGUGAAAUCCUGUGGCUUAACUGCAGGGCUGCCUCCUAGACUGUUAGGCUCGAGCACGGUAGAGGCAGAUGGAAUUCCCGGUGUAGCGGUGGAAUGCGUAGAGAUCGGGAAGAACAUCGGUGGCGAAGGCGGUCUGCUGGGCCGACACUGACGCUGAUGCGCGAAAGCCAGGGGAGCGAACGGG
rnacentral:rRNA from 1 species